rnacentral:rRNA from 1 species
AGUUUGAUCAUGGCUCAGAGCGAACGCUGGCGGCAGGCCUAACACAUGCAAGUCGAACGGACCCUUCGGGGUUAGUGGCGGACGGGUGAGUAACACGUGGGAACGUGCCUUUAGGUUCGGAAUAGCUCCUGGAAACGGGUGGUAAUGCCGAAUGUGCCCUUCGGGGGAAAGAUUUAUCGCCUUUAGAGCGGCCCGCGUCUGAUUAGCUAGUUGGUGAGGUAAUGGCUCACCAAGGCGACGAUCAGUAGCUGGUCUGAGAGGAUGACCAGCCACAUUGGGACUGAGACACGGCCCAAACUCCUACGGGAGGCAGCAGUGGGGAAUCUUGCGCAAUGGGCGAAAGCCUGACGCAGCCAUGCCGCGUGAAUGAUGAAGGUCUUAGGAUUGUAAAAUUCUUUCACCGGGGACGAUAAUGACGGUACCCGGAGAAGAAGCCCCGGCUAACUUCGUGCCAGCAGCCGCGGUAAUACGAAGGGGGCUAGCGUUGCUCGGAAUUACUGGGCGUAAAGGGCGCGUAGGCGGAUCGUUAAGUCAGAGGUGAAAUCCCGGAGCUCAACUUCGGAACUGCCUUUGAUACUGGCGAUCUUGAGUGUGAGAGAGGUAUGUGGAACUCCGAGUGUAGAGGUGAAAUUCGUAGAUAUU